rnacentral:rRNA from 1 species
CUUUUAAAGAUAGAAGUGUUCUCUUCGGAAACAAAGUGACAGGGGGUGCAUGGUCGUCGUCAGCUCGUGUCGUGAGAUGUUGGGUUAAGUCCCGCAACGAGCGCAACCCUUAUUGUUAGUUGCCAGCAUUCAGAUGGGCACUCUAGCGAGACUGCCGGUGACAAACCGGAGGAAGGCGGGGACGACGUCAGAUCAUCAUGCCCCUUAUGACCUGGGCUACACACGUGCUACAAUGGCGUAUACAACGAGUUGCCAACCCGCGAGGGUGAGCUAAUCUCUUAAAGUACGUCUCAGUUCGGAUUGUAGUCUGCAACUCGACUACAUGAAGUCGGAAUCGCUAGUAAUCGCGGAUCAGCACGCCGCGGUGUAUCCAUGUCCCCGGGUCUUGUACACACCGA